GACGUAGGGCGCGAGCGUUGUCCGGAUUUAUUGGGCGUAAAGAGCUCGUAGGCGGCUUGUCGCGUCGACUGUGAAAACCCGCGGCUCAACCGUGGACACGCCUUCGAAACUGUGAAGCUUGAGGCUGGGAGAGGAGAUCGGAAUUCCUGGUGUAGCGGUGAAAUGCGUAGAUAUCAGGAGGAACACCGGUGGCGAAGGCGGAUCUCUGGACCAGUUCUGACACUGAUGAGCGAAAGCCAGGGGAGCAAACAGG
rnacentral:rRNA from 1 species